rnacentral:lncRNA from 1 species
CGUGAUAUUAUUUUGUUUGUCGCAUUCAUCAUCGCAUCAUCCGCAUUGCAUCGACACUCCGUUGCCGCCAGUUUUCAAAACUUCCAUUCGUUAUUACUUGCUGGUUCUCUUUGUUUUCGUCGUUGCCCGUUUUGAGACCAACCACACAUGCAUGCGCGUGCGACAUAAUUUAAAUAUUGUUUUUGAAAGUAUGUAUAUAUAAUAUUUUCGGACUGAUUCCAAACUUGGUGUGCAGUCUUGUUUUAAUGUAGGUAGGCCGCCUGCCAAAUUUCACCGCAAUCGGAGUUGGUUUUAUACCCGAACGGUCGACCAUAGUUGCACCGUCCUUGGUUUAUCGUCAGACGUUUUUUCGGCGUUUAAAAUAUUGUGCCAGGCCGCAAACAUUCCCUGUUCUCCACCUAGCCCCUCUAACAC